rnacentral:rRNA from 1 species
UUUUUAAUAUAUUUCUGCUCCACGCGAGAAACAUGACGCGCGUGCGCGGUAUUUAUUAAACAGUGUUUCUUAUUUUUGACGUUUGCGGUAAGUUAUAGCUUGCGGCGCACUACUCACGCGUCUAGGGGCGGCGUUGCGGUGGCAAAGCUACCGCGUUGUGAAUGGGGUCGAAGCCGCGGUAGAACUCGUGUUGGUGCGGUAGAGAGGGAAGGGUGGAAACGGUGGAAAACCCGUCUUUGUUGUUGAGCGGGAGAGUACGUGGUACGGUGCGGCACGCUUAACUUCGGAGGUCACCUAUCCUAGUACUACUCUCUCGCCCAAGCACGCUUAACUUCGGAGUUCACCCAUCCUAGUACUACUCUCGCCCAAGCAUUCUUAACUUCAGAGUUCUAAUGGGAUCUUGCCGAUCAUACCAGCACUAAAGCACCGGAUCCCAUCAGAACUCCGAAGUUAAGCGUGCUUGGGCGAGAGUAGUACUAGGAUAGGUGCUUGGGCGAGAGUAGUACUAGGAUAGGUGACCUCCUAGGAAGUCCUCGUGUUGCAUUCCC